GAGAAAGUGAGAGAUGAGUUUUUCAUCGACGGCGGGAUAUUUGGCUCGGCGAGCCGCCCAGAAGGAGAGGGUUCGGAUCCUUUACCGGCGAGCUCUCAAAGACACUCUCAAUUGGGCUGUUCAUCGCCAUCUCUUUUACCGAGAUGCGUCGGACCUCCGGGAGAGAUUCGAGGCAAACAAACACGUGGAAGAUCUUGACACAAUAGACAAACUGAUAGCUGAUGGGGAAGCUUCCUAUAAUAAGUGGCGACAUCCUGAUCCCUAUAUCGUUCCUUGGGCUCCCGGUGGUUCUAAGUUUACGCGAAACCCAACUCCACCUGAAGGGAUUGAGAUCAUAUAUGACUACGGGCGGGAAGAUCACUGAAAUCUUCUAUAUCAUGGUAAUAAAUAAAGGUUGAAAUGGUUGGUGGCUUUGUGAGAGUUGAUGAUGAUAAAAGGAGCUCUUUGAUGUGUAAACUUGAAUGAACACAAAUUAUAGUGAUUCCUUGUUGAUUUGCUUUCUACUUUUUGUUCAGAUAUGCAAAUUUGACAUAGAAAAAAUCACCAUUGGAACGGUGUGUGAUAGUACAACUUUUGGUUAAUUUAAG
rnacentral:misc_RNA from 1 species